rnacentral:rRNA from 1 species
GGCUCAGGACGAACGCUGGCGGCGUGCCUAAUACAUGCAAGUCGAACGCACGAAGUUGAAGAGCUUGCUCUUUGACCAAGUGAGUGGCGGACGGGUGAGUAACACGUGGGUAACCUGCCCAUUAGAGGGGGAUAACAUUCGGAAACGGAUGCUAAUACCGCAUAGUUUCAGGAAUCGCAUGAUUCUUGAAGGAAAGGUGGCUUCGGCUACCACUAAUGGAUGGACCCGCGGCGUAUUAGCUAGUUGGUGAGGUAAUGGCUCACCAAGGCAAUGAUACGUAGCCGACCUGAGAGGGUGAUCGGCCACACUGGGACUGAGACACGGCCCAGACUCCUACGGGAGGCAGCAGUAGGGAAUCUUCCGCAAUGGACGAAAGUCUGACGGAGCAACGCCGCGUGAGUGAAGAAGGUUUUCGGAUCGUAAAACUCUGUUGUUAAAGAAGAACAAGGAUGAGAGUAACUGCUCAUCCCCUGACGG